GAAAGACCCCCGCCCUUAGCUUUCUCUUUUAAGUUUUCCCGCAUGCAGCUGGCGAAUACAUCCUCCCCUGCACCCCCUGACCCUUGAUCCCCACAGCUGCCGGCACUUCCCCGCCGCCGCGCAAGGCCGGCCCCGGCCCCCGCCGGACCGCUCCGUCCCAAGGUCUCCGCCCCCAAGGUCAGCCACCUGGGCGCGGAGGGAGGAAUCAAGUCUGUUGUACCAGACACCAGACCUUGAGAAUAUGCUGAUCUGGAAUGGCUCUGUGCCUCAUUUGAACCAUCAAAUAGAAUCCCUGCUCCUAGCUUGCGCCUUUUUCCCUAUAUAAGGACGCCUUUCCCUUGGCGCAGCGCGCUUGGCCUCAGAAAAGCUAAGUCGCCCCGGGUACCGCGUCUCCAAUAAAGCCUCUUGUUUUUUACAUCCAGUUCGUGGCCUCGCUGGUUCCUGGGUGUGUGGGUCUCCCUCUACGAAAGUGCCUCUUCGGGGUCUUUCAUUUGGGGGCUCGGUCCGGGAUCGAGACCCGCCCAGGGACCACCGACCCACGUCUGGGAGGUAAGUGUUGUGCGGAUCCGCUGUUUUGUCUUGUCUGGUCUGAGUCUGUCUUGUGAAUUGCGCUUGCGUUUGUAGUAUACAGCUGUGUACAUUUGUAGGCGGAUCCGAGGAGGGACUGACGGGUCCGAACUCCCGACCGCGGCUCCAGGAGACGUCCUGGUAGCGUUUGAAGCCCUCUGUGUGAGGAAUUUGUAUUUUGAACUUGGGAAGCCCUCAAUAUGAGGGAUUUGUACUUUGAAAACUGCGCUGCGAAAACCUGUUCUGUGUUCUGUGUUGUUUGGCCUUUGUUUUAUAAUUGAUGUGCAUAAACGCAAAUGAAUUACUCUUUGUUCCUCAGCUCGAGCGUAUAAACUUAUCUGGCCUGAUCCGGACAUCUAAACGGCCUUAAAGUUAUUAAGAACUAUAAAAAGGACUUUGAUAAAAUUUUGAUGUUAACUGAGAAAUGAAAAAAAAAAUAUAGGAGACUUAAAUAAUAAAGAGGGAAAGAAAAAAAAAAGAAAACUUGUCUAAGAAUGUCUAAGAGAGUCAGAGAAAUGAACUAAAAGGUUAUAGAAAAUUAAAGCAAGCAAGUCAUAGCAGAGAAGAUUGUUACAGAAAGUUAUGGAGGGUCAAAGCAAGUUAUAAAAGGUCAGAGGAAAGUUGUUAAAAAUCAGAAAAAAGGUUAUUAUAAGUCAGAGAAAAAUGUAAACUGUGCUAUGGUUUCUCAUGUCUAAAAUUUUAACCAUAUUAAGCUAAUUCUGUUUUAUAUAUACUUGUUUUAAAAUGUUCAUAUGACUUGACUGGUCGCCAUUUUGCUAAAAUUAAAAAAGAAUACUUAAACCGCCAUCUUGACUAAAGAUGACCGCAUGGAAAUUAGAGGUACCAUCUUAGAAACAAGUUUUUCAAUUGAGAUUUACAAUGUUAAUGCUUCUAUAUAUUACAGAAAGACCUUAAGGGAAUUUAAAUUUCUUUUUAAAACCAGUUUUUUAUGUUUGUUUUUAUUAAUGUUUGUACUUAAAGAGCUUCAAUUUAAAAUUAUUUUUGAGCAAAGCCUGACAAUGUAAAGUUUUUGUUUUAUGAAAGAUGCUGAUCUAUUAUAUGAUAUUACAGUUUAUAUUUUAGAAAUAAAUUUAGGAUGUUGAUAACACACACCUUUAAGCUCAGGAUGUUGGUAACACACGCCUUAAGUUUAGAACAUUGGUAACACAUGCCUUUAAUCCCACCACUCGGGAGUAAGAGGCAGAUGGAUCUUUAUGAGUUCAAGGCCUGUCUGGUCCGGCAGAUCGAAUUCCAGGACAGGCUCCAAAGUCACAGAAAAACCCUGCCUAAGAAAGAAGUUAAGCUACUGUUUAAGGAAUAUAAGGUAGCUCUAUGCAGUUUUAAGUUCAGCUGUGCUGUUUCAAACAUCUUACUAAGUUAAAACCAGUUACAGUCAGACUAAAAAUUAUUUACAGAAAUAAGACCUUACCUAGCCACCUGUAUACUUAAUGUGUGCUUAAGGCAAGUAAUUAAAACAGACAAACAGACCUCUAAUGCUUCAGAGAUCUUCAGAAUAUGGCAUUUAAAUUGUUAUCUUUAAAGUUUAUAAUGUCAG
rnacentral:lncRNA from 1 species